ACGUCACAUCCGGACGGUCCUGAGAUGCCGGUAAGAAACGAUUGUCCCGGGAAAAGGCGAGAGUUUAAGCUCCCUCCCUCGCGUCUUUCCCGGCACGGAGAGAAAGGACGAGAGAAAACAGCCGCAGGGGGAACGCUCUCACGGCAGCGGCCCCGUUCCUCUCCCUUUUCUUCCGGGGAAUCCAGCCUUGGGAGAAGCCGCUCUUCCUUCGCUGGCCUCCGUGUUGUGGUAGAGGCCUCGCCGGCCUUGGCCUUGCCGUAAGAGACCAGACUCGAGGAAGGUCACUCUCUCUCGCCUCCCAGCGCCCACCGAGUUUAUCUUGACCGUACGUACGGGGUGGAUUUGGCCCCUUUUGUGGACCGGCUGCCGCCGAGUUCUCAAGCUGGCCUAGUAACUGACAAUGCCGCCAGCGUUUUGCUGGGGAUUGAGUGUCGGGACCUGUUUGGCAGUUCCUGAAGUGCGCCUUUGUAGGAAUCGCCUACAACUGUUCAGUCAAAAAAGGUCUAGGGCGUAACCUGCUUUGAAAUCCCCGAGGAUAGCGACGACCUAUAUAACUUUGGCCUGGAGUUGUCUUGCUUUGUAUAAAGAAAAGGUCAGACUAAUUUCCCAAAGCGUUUAUGAUCUGUCAGUGGUUGGGAGACCUAUGAAAGAUGAGGCCAUUCAUACAAAGGCCACAGAUAAAUUAUAUUGAAUCACACUCUGUUAUCUUCUCUGUUAAGAUGACCCUUACUAGCCUGUGAGGCUGGAAUAUAUGUAUAAAUACAGUGUAAACUGUUCGUGUUGACCUCCUAAACAUAUGCCUUACCUAGAUCUACUUUUGGAGUUGGAAACUUGAAUCGAUGUUAUCAGAUGAGUUAGAGUCUAAACCAGAGUUGCUGGUUCAGUUUGUUCAGAACACAUCUAUCCCACUAGGACAGGGGCUUGUGGAAUCAGAACCUAAAAAUAUUACCUGUCUAUCUCUUCUUCCCAUUACAGAAUCCCCACAAUGCAACAGGUUGAUAUUGCCAGAUGAUUCACCAAACCACAUUCACUCUUCCAAGCAUGCUUCUUCUUCGGCGGUUCUGCGAAGUCUCCAAGUAAAUGUUGGCCCUGAUGGUGAGGAGACAAGGGCACAAACCGUACAGAAACCACCUGACCUUCUUCCAAGUCCUGAUACUUCUACCUUGUUGCAAGAUCUUCAGCCUGGUGAUAACACUUCCUUUAUUCUCCUCAAUUUAACACGGACAGGCUUAGGGUCUUCUUCAGAUCAUCUGGUAUUUGUCCAGGAUGGAGCAGUCGAUUCUGGGAACAAUUUCUUUGCGAAUAAUAGCACAGACAGCAGUACCCCAUGGUUUUUACGAGUACAAGAACUGGCUCAUGAUAGCUUGAUAGCUGCCACCCGAGCACAGCUCGCUAAGAAUGCCAAAGCAAGCAAUAAUGGAGAAAAUGUUCAUGUUUGUUCAGGAGAAUCACAGCCGAAGGAAUCCAGCCCCAUUCCUCACCUACCGCGGGUAGAAAAAAAAUUGCAGUGCACUGUUGAAGGCUGUGAUCGAACAUUUGUAUGGCCAACUCACUUCAAAUAUCAUCUAAAAACCCACAGGAAUGAUCGCUCCUACACAUGUCCAGCAAAAGAUUGUGGAAAAAGUUUUUAUGUCUUACAAAGAUUGAAGGUGCACAUGAGAACACAUAAUGGUGAGAAACCAUUUAUUUGCUCUGAACAAGGCUGUGGAAAGCAAUUCACAACAGCUGGGAAUCUGAAGAAUCAUCUGCGAAUUCACACUGGGGAAAAGCCUUUUUUAUGUGAGGCCCAGGGCUGUGGUCGUUCCUUUGCUGAAUAUUCCAGCCUUCGGAAACACCUAGUUGUCCAUUCAGGACUAAAGCCACAUCAAUGUCAAAUUUGUGGGAAGACAUUUUCCCAGAGUGGUAGUAGAAAUGUACACAUGAAGAAACAUCAUUCGAGGGUUGAAACAAUUAGCAAUAGGCAGCAUGAGCAAACAGAAUCACUCAUGGGCAGUAGUUUGUUGGAAGAAUCUGAAUUGGACAGUAAGAGCCUGGUGUCAAUGAACUCUCCGUCUAGCCUUGUUGAAUCUUUGCAUUUGCCAGAUCCAGAAUCAAUGAUUGGUGUAAAAGAAGAGGUUUUAACUGAAGCAGCAGUAAAUUCUCUCCAUGACGUAUCUGAUGUGGUUUUGCCAUCUCAUCACCUGAUGCCCAUGUCAACAUCAAGGCACUCUUACGGUGUAUCAUCCUUACUACAAUAAAUUCUUAGGUCUGAAGGUUUUUGUUUUGAAAAACGUAGUGCUAGUCUCUUUAAUUUCAGAAAACAUUUGCUCCUCCUGUGAUUGAAGUUAUAGAAGAACAGCGAAUCUGUGACACUGAAUAUAUACUAGAUGAACAGGCUUUCUGAUGAAAUUCCUGGAAUCUGCAGUAUCUCCAGUCUACUUCUUACGACAUGUUGGAGCAGAGGCCUGGACUAUGGUUUUGCUUCAGUCAGUGAAAAAAACUUUGUUUUCUAAGAGAGGAUGGAACAGCAGCUAUUAAUUAUGGAGUUAAUAUUUAACCUGGUGUCCAAAAGCCAGGAGAUAAUGUUCUUGUACCUGGUUUGAAGCCAGAUUUUUUUUCUCUUUUUUUGAAGUGACCAUAAGCUCAACAUUAUAUUGGCUUGUUCUUGGAGAAAUAUAUUUUAAGUAGUAAUAAAUUCUGCACCAGAGUGUGGCAGUUCUGGUUUUGCUUAUUUAUAGGGGCAGUUGGUGGUACUCUUUCAUCGGAAAUUUUUGCCUUCCCAUGCUUUGUGCGGAUAUGUUCACUAACAUUGCUUUUGGUCCAAACUGAAGAUCUCAUACUAUUCAGAGUAUUGGUCACACUUGCUUCUUGCUGUGAUAUUUUAAUUUCUAACUAUUAGGCUUAAUAGAUUUUUUUUUUAAAAAAAAUCAAAGGUAGAAAUUAUUCAGUGACAUUCUGUUGUAAAUAAACUACAUAUUUCCAUUCGCGACAUGGUUGCAUGUGUAUUUAUUUGAUGGCUUUUGAAAUACACUUUAUAUUACACAGAAGUUCAGAAUGAGUAACAGCUUUAAAAACACAAGUUAUAUGCAGUAUAAAACACUAACUGUGACGAACUAUAACAGCAGUUUCCAGGAAGAAAGGCACACAUUCAAAGAAGAAUGAGUGGGUGGUGAGGCAAGAAUCAGCCCAGUUCAGAGCUGACUCCUGGGAAGAGAAAAUAGUUUAGGAUAGCUACUCCCUAAUAUCUCCCAUGGUAUAGCCAUUAGGGUAGGGUAGUAAGAGUUUAGCAAGAAUAUACAUGGUGUAAGCAAAUAAAGAAUGGAACUUGAAUUAUGUUACUUUGCUGUUAAACUAGUCCGGACACUAGUGGAACAUUAAAAUUAAUUUGAAAUGAAUACACUGACUCAAAAAGAAACAGCAUUUAAGAGAAGCAUGCAGUGGUCCCUAAAUUCUUAUUCAAGACUUUAUGUGCCUCAAUAAUAUACUU